rnacentral:tRNA from 1 species
GUAGGUAUAGUUUUAAUUAAAACAUUAGAUUGUGGUUCUAAAAACAGAGGUUAGACCCCUCUUAUCCACC